AUUGAACGCUGGCGGCAGGCCUAACACAUGCAAGUCGAGCGGAUGAAGGGAGCUUGCUCCUGGAUUCAGCGGCGGACGGGUGAGUAAUGCCUAGGAAUCUGCCUGGUAGUGGGGGAUAACGUCCGGAAACGGGCGCUAAUACCGCAUACGUCCUGAGGGAGAAAGUGGGGGAUCUUCGGACCUCACGCUAUCAGAUGAGCCUAGGUCGGAUUGGCUAGUUGGUGGGGUAAAGGCCUACCAAGGCGACGAUCCGUAGCUGGUCUGAGAGGAUGAUCAGUCACACUGGAACUGAGACACGGUCCAGACUCCUACGGGAGGCAGCAGUGGGGAAUAUUGGACAAUGGGCGAAAGCCUGAUCCAGCCAUGCCGCGUGUGUGAAGAAGGUCUUCGGAUUGUAAAGCACUUUAAGUUGGGAGGAAGGGCAGUAAGUUAAUACCUUGCUGUUUUGACGUUACCAACAGAAUAAGCACCGGCUAACUUCGUG
rnacentral:rRNA from 1 species